CACCUCAACAUGUUCCCCUCUCUCAACACCUACAGAGGUCACCUCACCAUGUUCCCCUCUCUCAACACCUACAGAGGUCACCUCACCAUGUUCCCCUCUCUCAACACCUAGAGGUCAUCUCAUCAUGUUCCCCUCUCUCAACACCUACAGAGGUCAUCUCACCAUGUUCCCCUCUCUCAACACCUACAGAGGUCACCUCACCAUGUUCCCCUCUCUCAACACCUAGAGGUCACCUCAACAUGUUCCCCUCUCUCAACACCUAGAGAGGUCACCUCACCAUGUUCCCCUCUCUCAACACCUAGAGGUCAUCUCAUCAUGUUCCCCUCUCUCAACACCUACAGAGGUCAUCUCAUCAUGCUCCCCUGUCUC